GGUCAGAUAGCCUAGUGCACGGUUAAGGUACCCGAUGCAUGAUUGGAUCUCGUCGCUGGCUCAAUUCCAGCUCUGACCC
rnacentral:tRNA from 1 species